rnacentral:tRNA from 1 species
GAGGGUAUAGCUCAAAGUGGUAGAGCUCAUGCUUAGCAUGCAUGAGGUCCUGGGUUCAAUCACCAGUACCUCCU